CAUUCGUUCAUCGCUCCAAAUCAGUCGGAAAGAUCAAAGUUCACCGAAACUCCGAGGGAGAUCGAGCUCCUGGAGAAUCAAAACCGAAAUGCCGACAUACCAAAUAAGGGGAAUCGACGUGGAUUUCCCUUUCGAUGCCUAUGAUUGCCAGCUCGUUUACAUGGAAAAAGUCAUCCAAGCUCUCCAAGAACGGUGUAAUGCUCUAUUGGAGAGUCCUACUGGGACCGGAAAGACAUUAUGCCUUCUUUGUGCUACUUUGGCGUGGAGGAAGAGCUUGGGAGGCUUCUCAACUGGUUCUGCUAAGAGGGACAUAAGUAGUCAGCCAGACUCACAGUCUAAUUCCAAUGUAAAUAAUUUUCCGACCAUAGUGUACACUUCGCGCACUCAUAGUCAGCUGCGCCAAGUGAUUCAAGAACUGAAAAGAAGCAACUACAGGCCUAAGAUGGUGGUCUUAGGUUCUCGAGAGCAAUUAUGCAUCCAUGAUGAGGUUAGUUUGCUUCGAGGAAGAGCUCAAAAUAAUGCCUGCCAUUAUAUUUGCAGAAAGGGCGCAAAGCGUCGCUGCAAGCAUUAUUCUCUUGUCGCAGACUAUUUGAAGCACAAUCCAUUGCUUGGAGACGAUCCCAUCGACAUAGAGGAUUUGGUUUCUAUUGGAAGAAAAUCUGGGCCGUGUCCUUACUAUAUAUCAAGAGAGCUCCGCAGGGCUGUUGAUAUUCUUUUCGCCCCCUACAAUUAUCUUAUUGAUCAAAGCUACAGGAAGUCGUUGUCCCUUGACUGGAACAAUAGUAUACUCAUUUUUGAUGAGGCACACAACUUGGAAAGCUUGUGUGCAGAUGCUGCCUCAUUUGAUCUACCUUCUGGCCUUCUGACGGCUUGCAUUUCUGAAGCCAAAAAUUGUGUUGAUCUCUCCGUUGAUAGAAGAGAUAAAUCAAGUGAUAAGUCUCGUAACCCGGACAAUUUUGCUAUUCUUAGAGCAUUACUUCUGAAGCUCGAAAAGAGAAUUGCUGAAUUACCUGUUGAAUCCAAGGAAUUUGGUUUUACGAAACCUGGACCUUACAUCUAUGAAUUAUUUUCUGGACUAAACAUUACUCAUGAAACUGCCUCUAUGCUCAUUGGAAUAAUUGAGGAGGCUUCUGUGCUUCUCGAGGAAUCCAAGGAAUUGGAAGCAAAGGGUGGCAUUUGCAGGCUUGAAACUAUGGGCGAAAUUCUUAAGCUGAUCUUCAGAGAAAAGGAAAAUGCUCAUGCAAAUUUUUAUCGCCUUCAUGUGCGGGAAGUUGACGCCUAUCCUUCAGAUGAUUUAAAAGGCAAGACAUCGAGGACUCUCAGCUGGUGGUGUUUCAAUCCUGGAUUAGCUAUGGAAGAGUUUUCAAAGAUCAGAGUUGGUUCUAUUAUAUUGACCUCUGGCACAUUAUCUCCCAUGGAUUCAUUUGCUCAAGAACUUAAUCUAGAUUUUCCCGUGCGGCUGGAAAAUCCUCAUGUGAUAUCUUCGAAUCAGAUAUGGGCUGGAGUGGUAUCAGCUGGUCCAUCUGGCUGCUUAUUUAAUUCCUCUUAUCGAAAUCGGGAUUCCUUAGAAUACAAGCAAGAGCUUGGUAAUGCUAUUGUCAAUUUCGCUCGAAUAGUGCCGGAUGGACUGCUUGUUUUUUUCCCUUCUUACUACAUUUUGGAUCAAUGUAUUCAGUGCUGGAAGAAUAUGGCUCAUCCAAAUUCAAUGGACUCUAACACCAUAUGGGAAAGGAUUUGUAAGCAUAAAAAGCCUGUUGUGGAACCUCGACAGUCGUCACUCUUUUCUUUAGCAAUUGAGGACUACAUGUCUAAGCUCAAUGAUACCUCAAACUCAGGUGCAAUAUUCUUUGCAGUUUGUCGUGGCAAGGUAAGCGAAGGAUUAGAUUUUGCAGACAGUGCUGGCAGAGCUGUUGUAGUCACAGGCUUGCCAUUUGCCACUAGGACUGAUCCAAAGGUUCGUUUGAAACGUGAGUACUUGGAUGAGUUGGCACGCUUGCAGAAGGAAAGGAGGAUUCUAACUGGAGAUGAAUGGUAUAACCAACAAGCAUCACGAGCUGUGAAUCAGGCUGUAGGACGUGUUAUUCGUCAUCGUGAUGAUUAUGGAGCAAUAAUCAUGUUGGAUGAAAGAUUUGCACAUGUGAACCGUCAGUCCCAAGUAUCACUUUGGAUACAGCCUCAUAUUAAGUGUUACUCUAAGUUUGGGGAAGUAGUUUAUCAUUUGACCCGUUUUUUCCGAGAUGGAGGGAAUCGUGUCCCUGCAAAGCCAAAGAUAUUGCAACAUAAAGACAGUGGAGAUACAAAAACUGCGGAGCCUAUACCCAUUUGUCAAACUCCUCCGGCUUCCCCAACAGAUGACGGUGGCAUCGUACAUCCGAUAUCUUUAGAUUGUGAAAUGAAAAGAACCACCAACUCAUGCCAGUUGAGAGAAGUUAUUCCUGCCAAUCGCUCAUCUUUUACAUUGUCGAAAAAGUUACUGGGAUCAAUGGGGAGUUCUUCAGGGAGUUAUACCGGUGAGGGACAAAAGUUACUAAUGUCAGGGAAGGGCAAUAUGCAGCAGAAAAAUGAAAUAGUAGAUUUAACUGCUGAUUCCCUAGCUGAUGAGAAACUAUAUAAAGGACUAACAGCACCUUGCUUUACAAAGAAGCGCAAAAUAUCUCAACUAAAGGACUGUGUUAUGCUUGAUGCUGGAAAUAGCGGUAAGUGUGCCAAUGGUGCGAAAUGUAAGCUAUCAGAGUGCGAAUGGGACAAUUCAUCUACUUAUGAUGGUAGGAGCAGAAAACAAGCCCAAGUUGGUUCAAUUUCUCUUCCUCAAUAUGAUGAGACUAUUUCAAGUUUCGACGCUAAUUCUCUCUCAGAGGGACACAAAGGUGUGCAAAAUGCUACUGCACCUGGCAAAGAUGAGGAAGAUAAAGGAUCUGCUUUUCUGUUGCAGGUUCAGGAGAAACUUAGUGCUUCAGAAUAUAAAGAUUUCAUUGGGUUUAUGAAGGCACUGAAGUCCAAAGCAAUGAAAAUAACUUACGUUCUUCAGUCGAUUGCAAGACUAUUCUCUGGACCAGAAAGGCUUCAGGUUUCUAAAAGAACCUCAUUGUCGCUUUUGACAGAUUUAAGGAUUUUAUUCCUGUGAAGUAUCACUCUCUGUAUGAGAAGUAUCUUGGAGCAAAUGAUGGCAUCGCAGACUGUUGAAGGAGAAGAGCAUUGUUCCCUGCCCUUGGGUGGAGCCUAAAUUACAUGCAACUGCUGCAUUAUUUUAUCGGAGAGAGAUUGAAGGUUGAGGUUCAAGUCACGUCAAUGACUGUAUUACACACCCUGUCUUAGAAAUAUGCACAGUAGGCUUCCAGCUGAAGUUUCAGGCAGACUUGAUGGUUGGUUGCUGGGGACAUGAGGUUUCACCUGAUGAACCUUGGACUGGACUAACGACCGAUCGUAAGGCUAUUCUUUUGAUGGAGGACACAUGCAAAAGCAAUCCUAGAAUAUUCCAGCCCUGCCAUGCCACAUAUUUUGGUUCAGUACAGAUGGCAUGAGCCAAGGAUGCUGGAGAUUUAAGCAAAGGGCUGCAUGUCAAUCGGCUGAAGUUCUGCAGUUUCAUUUCGGUAGCAAUUGUGUCAAAAUGUUUUGGAUGUUGAAGGUAUCAGGCACUGCUAUAACUUGGCCACUGAGAGAGUUCAUUCUCUUCCAAUGGAACCGUGUCUUCCAUCGUAACUGUAAUUUAACAUGCUGCAAGUUUAUCGUGAGUAGUCCCUUGUUUUCA